rnacentral:rRNA from 1 species
GACGAACGCUGGCGGCGUGCCUAAUACAUGCAAGUCGAGCGGACGGAUGGGAGCUUGCUCCCUGAUGUUAGCGGCGGACGGGUGAGUAACACGUGGGUAACCUGCCUGUAAGACUGGGAUAACUCCGGGAAACCGGGGCUAAUACCGGAUGGUUGUUUGAACCGCAUGGUUCAAACAUAAAAGGUGGCUUCGGCUACCACUUACAGAUGGACCCGCGGCGCAUUAGCUAGUUGGUGAGGUAACGGCUCACCAAGGCAACGAUGCGUAGCCGACCUGAGAGGGUGAUCGGCCACACUGGGACUGAGACACGGCCCAGACUCCUACGGGAGGCAGCAGUAGGGAAUCUUCCGCAAUGGACGAAAGUCUGACGGAGCAACGCCGCGUGAGUGAUGAAGGUUUUCGGAUCGUAAAGCUCUGUUGUUAGGGAAGAACAAGUACCGUUCGAAUA